rnacentral:misc_RNA from 1 species
UCUCUUAGUUUAGUGUCCGCCAGGUAAACAGAUGGCACGACUGUGCUUCAUGUCAUCUUUUAACAUGUGUGUCAGUAUAUGGGGAUGUUUCCCCCACAUUCAACGCCGGGAAUAGCGGAAAAAUAAAAGGGGAGAUGUAUUCCCCCCUUUUUGAU